GGGCGAGGAAUGGCAGUGAGGCAGGAACCUUGGUGUGGUGUUUACCUGAGGUAGUCGACGGCGUGGAUGAGGCGUCCGAUGUAUUGUGGGAUUCCCUUGGCGCGCCUGUUCCACCCGUCAAUCUUCACGGCGGCCUCUACCACCUGUUGGAGGCAUGGAAGGCGCGGACACAGCAUUAAGAUCCGUAUUCAGAAACGCUUAGCUCUCUCACCACGACUAUUUUGUAAGGCACGUAUGUUUAGAGGAGGAAGGAGAACCUGGGACCGUCUGUGCUGCGUCACUUAGACCAUGGCUACGGACCAUGGCUACGGGAGAGACGUGUGCUGGCUGUGAAUAUACGAACCGCCAGUUCUCUCAGCUUCUUCUUAAGGUGGAGGAGCAGUAGAGGGCGAACCUGCAGACGUGACACCGCUGCCGCCCGCCACGCCCGCACGCCCAGCACCGCCCUGCCCCAGAGUCCAUGUCUGGGGCGUGCUACAGUUUGAGUCUGGGGUUACAGCGGGCUUGGGAGAUAUGACACCUGAAGAUGCUGCAUCUUCUCUUUCCUGGCUAGCAGAUAAAGAAGAUACAAGGAUGAGAAGAAAAAAUAAAGAAAAAUAUAAGAGAAUAAAGGAAUUAAAGAGAAGACAAGAAGAGUAAAGAGAAACAGAAAGGAAGAGAAGGGAAGAGAGAAGAAAAGAAA